GGUCACUGUUAUUGGGAUUCGAUUAAGCCAUGCGAGUUGAGGGUGCUUUCGAGUAACCCGGCGAACUGCUCAGUAACACGUGGACAAUCUACUCUUAGGCAGGGGAUAAACCCGGGAAACUGGGGCUAAUACCCUAUAGGAAAUUAUAACUGGAAUGUUUUUUUUCCGAAAGAUUUUUCGCCUAAGAAUGAGUCCGCGGCCGAUUAUGGUAGUUGGUAGGGUAAAUGCCUACCAAGCCGACGAUCGGUACGGGUAGUGAGAGCUAUAGCCCGGAGUUGGGAACUGAGACACGGUCCCAGGCUCUACGGAGCGCAGCAGGCGCGAAACCUUCGCAAUGCCCGAAAGGGUGACGGGGGGAUCCCAAGUGCUGGCGUCAUGCGUUGGCUUUUUUUAAGUGUAAGAAGCUUAAGGAAUAAGGAGAGGGCAAGACCGGUGCCAGCCGCCGCGGUAACACCGGCUCUUCAAAUGGUGGCCAUUUUAUUGGGCUUAAAGCGUUCGUAGCUGGAUUUGUAAGUUUCUGGCGAAAUUCUGUUGCUUAACGAUAGAACUUGCUGGAAAUACUACUCAUCUUGAGACCGGGAGAGGCUAGAGGUACUCCUAGGGUAGGGGUGAAAUCCGUUAAUCCUAGGGGGACCACCUGUGGUGAAGACGUCUAGCUAGAACGGGUCUGACAGUGAGGAACGAAACCCAGGGGAGCAAACCGGAUUAGAUACCCGGGUAGUCCUGGGCGUAAACUAUGUGGGCUAGGUGUCACACAAUCUUUGUGAUUGUGUGGUGCCGAAGGGAAACCGUUAAGCUCAUCGCCUGGGGAGUACGGUCGCAAGGCUGAAACUUAAAGGAAUUGGCGGGGGAGCACCACAAGGGGUGGAACCUGCGGUUUA
rnacentral:rRNA from 1 species